UACGAGCGGUCCAAACGUUAUUCGGAAUCACUGGGCUUACAGAGUUCGUGGGCGGUUCUACAAGUGAGGUGUGAAAGCCCUCGGCUCAACCGAGGAACUGCGCUUCAAACUGUAGAACUAGAGGGAGAUAGAGGUGAGCAGAACUGAUGGUGGAGCGGUGAAAUGCGUUGAUAUCAUCAGGAAUACCGGAGGCGAAGGCGGCUCACUGGGUCUCUUCUGACGCUGAGGAACGAAAGCUAGGGGAGCAAACGGG
rnacentral:rRNA from 1 species